GCUGUUAUCAUUAGAAAGAUUUAAUGUACAGAGGCAAUUAGGAAGUUCUUCUGAAAGUAUUGCAGAGUGUGAAGGGAAAAAAAGAAGGAACGGAUGCCAAAAACUCAUUUGUCAUAUUAACAAAUGUGAGAACGGGAGGCCCUAGAUGAGCUUCUCCCCUGGGUCUCCGCCUUGAUUGCAUCUGCUAGUGAACUUCAUUGAACAUCGGCAUAAUCUAUGCUUUCAUUCUGAUAUGGUUGGUACUGAGAGCUGACUCACAAAAUCCAGAAGCGGCAGAGCGGGAAAGCCUUCUCUCCCUCAUCUUGGUGACCAACCUGGAUUAAAUUGGAUGUCUUUUCUCAGUCAUGCCAUCCUUCUUUG
rnacentral:lncRNA from 1 species